rnacentral:rRNA from 1 species
AAUAUUUGUCAAUGGACGCAAGUCUGACCCAGCCACGUCGCGUGAAGGAAGACGGCCCUACGUGUUGUAAACUUCUUUUGCAAGGGAAUAAAGUGGGCCACGCGUGGCCUUUUGCAUGUACCUUGCGAAUACGGAUCGGCUAACUCCGUGCCAGCAGCCGCGGGAAUACGGAGGAUCCGAGCGUUAUCCGUAUUUAUUUGGUUUAAAGCGUGCUCAGGCGGGGGAUUAAGUCGGCGGUGAAAUUUUGCGGCUCAACCGUAAAAGUGCCUUCGAAACUGGUUUCCUUGAGUGUGGAUGAGGUAGGCGGAAUUUGUGGUGUAGCGGUGAAAUGCAUAGAUAUCACGAGGAACUCCGAUUGCGCAGGCAGCUUACCAGGCCAUAACUGACGCUCAAGCACGAAGGCGUGGGGAUCAAACAGG